CUAUGCGUACAUGAUUCAAGGAAAAGGAACAAAAUACAUUAUGUAAUCUACAAGCAUGCAAGACGGCAAAUUCAACCGCCGUUUUCGGGAAAUUGACAGAAAUAAAACAUGUUGGAAAAACGCCAUUCAAGAUAUGCCAAAUAAAUGAGAACGGUAUUAAACAUGUGACUAGCACUGGUGGAAACACCCAAAGCCGACAGAUGUAAAGAAGAAUUAUUUUCAAAUUGUUGGGUAGACGGGGCAAUCUAGGCUCAUCCUUGAAUUCAGAAAGAAAAAAGAAAAGAGAAGAAAGAGGAAAAGAAAUACCUAAUACAUUAUUCAGAUGCUGGUAACUCGGGGGGCCGUUUUUCCGCGCGGACGCAACUUGAUAACUGUCUCAAGCUCUCUUAACAUGUGUGUAUUUGCGUCCGAUUUCUCUCUCGCCACGGCUUGUCUAGCCCGUUCUUCUUUCAUCCGGGCUAUUCUUUCGUCUCGAGUCAUGGAGUUUCGCUUCCGGGGUAGAGCAAUAGCUUCAAAAACCUCAUGCUCAUCCAUGUUGUUGUCUGGGGCUGUGAGGUGCUGGUCUUCGCCAUUCAAUGCCCGAAGCGCCUCCGCUGGACCACCCUCAACCGCAGUCGCGCCACCUAAGCUAAAUGUCGGCGAUGCUGGCGACCUGAGUAGGCUGGUGGGUCGUGAGAGACGAUCUGGGUUUUCUAAAGUGGCUAAUAAUGAAGAUUUCCCGGCUUCCCACUCUUGUAGUAUCCCUCUUAGGUCUGCGCCGAUAGAUUGGUAGAGGGUUGUUAAGGUCGUGCCGAAAUCUGCAUCAUCGGUUGCUCGUUCAAGGCUGGCAUCUGAUUCUUCGCGGAUGAGCUGCAUUUUAGCAUGCAGUCCACGGAUUCCUUGAGAUAGAGAAUUGAGUCGUCUUAGUUGUGCGCGAUGACGAUCCUUAUUGGGGCUGAGCUUGGAUUGAGG
rnacentral:sRNA from 1 species